CCCACAUCCGCAGCAGGUCUCCAAGGUGAACAGCCUCUAGUCGAUGGACCAAUGUAGGUAAGGGAAGUCGGCAAAACGGAUCCGUAACCUUGGGAUAAGGAUUGGCUCUGAGGACUGAGCCGGUCGGGCUGGGGACCUGAAGCAGGAACGGCACUGCACCGGGACUGGGCGGGGCUCGCCGUUGACGCGGCGCGGCCAAGCCCGGACCAGCGUCGGGACCUUCCUGUGGAAAGCCUCAGCUGCGCGGCGUCCGAGGGCUUCGUGCCCAAAGUGCUAUGCUUCGGCCGGCAAAAAACAGUCAACUCAGAACUGGCACGGACCGGGGGAAUCCGACUGUCUAAUUAAAACAAAGCAUUGCGAUGGCCGCUGGUCGGUGUUGACGCAAUGUGAUUUCUGCCCAGUGCUCUGAAUGUCAACGUGAAGAGAUUCAUCAAAGCGCGGGUAAACGGCGGGAGUAACUAUGACUCUCUUGUCGAGUUCGGGACUAUUGGAGGAACGCUUUGUUAAAGAUGGUGGAUGGUCGAGGACUACGGGAGGCGAGAUUGGCUGUUAGGGCAACAUGGGUGCGGGACCCUCCUAGAUACCUUUCCGGUAGGGAGUACGU
rnacentral:ncRNA from 1 species